GGGAUACCAAAUAAAAAUGAGAAAGUGAAUUGUGAUAGAGAAGUAUAACAUUGAACCUAGUACAACAGAAGUAAACUGGAUUGACAUGAACAUUGAUGGAUGCAGAACCAAUUCAUGAUUACUUUGUCAUAUUUCUUAAGGAGCUUCCGGAUAGCAAGAGCAUUCAUAGUGACGUAUUCAAUUAGCAUCCGACCCUCUUGCACCAUGACUUGCUCAUCAUGCUUAAAAAAGUGGCGCAAACGAACAACAUAUCUUUGCAUUCCAGAAGCAAUAUGAAGAUGGAGAAGGCGCCUCACUCUGGAACUGAAGAAGCCUGCUACUUCAGAUGCCUCCUUCAUUAACUCGGAGAAGAAAAUCUGAUCACACACUAGAAUAUUUUCAGAGCACAAUAAUUAGUAUUUUGCUAAAUGAAAGAUUGGCUACAAGAAAUGGUGCCUAUGAAGAAGUAACAACACAUCACGGGGCAAAGGUAAAGAUAUCUGAAUAGACAGUGGGAACAGCAUGAGACUUGUCGAAACUCAUAAGCUUAAAUAUGUAUAGUAUGUCCACGACAGUGAGUUUUUUUUUUUAAAAAAUAAUAACAAACUGAACUGUUAUGGCAUCAAAAAAUGCUGGUAACAUAGUCCAAUCUGCACUAACAUACAUAAAAGUAGUCGGAUUCAUGAGACAUUUGCACAUACCAGAGAGAUAAUUUUGCACUUCAAUGCUAAUGCAGAAAAUAAGUCACCAAUUACAACCAUUUUUAAAACACGGGGCAGCUAGCUAGCCUAGAAACCAAAUAGUACUGAAUCCUAUAUUCAGUUACGACAACAACAUAGUAGUAUAGCAAUCACGAACUGCAUAUCUCAGCCAAAAAAAUUCUACCAAUUUUGUAUUUAAUGGAUGUGCACCUAAACGUGCAUAAGAACGGAACAGAUAUGUAUGAAUAAGGCUUUUUUUUCCCCUCUGACCUUAAAUUGUUCAUCUUCUUCUUAAAAAAAAAAAGAAAGAAUAAAAAGGGGGGACUAGGAAGAAGGGAUGAUUGAGAAAAGUGAAAUGCAUACAUGGGCAGGAUUGACACUGGCAAAAUGGAGAUGACGAGGUAGUAGUAAUAGAGGAAGUAUCCGCAGGGCUUGCAGGAUGAUCAGUAUCCCCAUGGUGGCCCGCAGGAGGAUGAUGACGAAGAUGCUGCUUUUGUUGGUCUUGUUCUUCUUCGGUGUCUAAGGAUGAUAAUGAUGG
rnacentral:lncRNA from 1 species